GUCAGGUCAUAUCUUGGCAAGAGUUGAUUCUCUGGAUGAAGGCUACAAGGGCCAGGCUGGAAGUCUACCAUCAGAUAUUUAUUGGGCACCUCCUAAGUACAAGACACUGAGCCAGAUACCAAGAAGACGCUGAAUCUGAAGAGCUUGGGUUAAGGAGUUGUUGCCAUGAAGGGCGGC